rnacentral:rRNA from 1 species
UCUGGCAGCCAUACCACUCUGUGCUGGGAGCCUGUCAGUUCUUACUAGCUAAGGAAGGGCUGGUCUGCUUUGGUGCGAGGAGGAUGAGAGACCUCCCAGGAACAAGUAGGUACUUCAGGAA